CCUACGGGAGGCAGCAGUGAGGAAUAUUGGUCAAUGGACGAGAGUCUGAACCAGCCAAGUAGCGUGAAGGAUGACUGCCCUAUGGGUUGUAAACUUCUUUUAUAUGGGAAUAAAACGUUCCACGUGUGGGAUUUUGUAUGUACCAUAUGAAUAAGGAUCGGCUAACUCCGUGCCAGCAGCCGCGGUAAUACGGAGGAUCCGAGCGUUAUCCGGAUUUAUUGGGUUUAAAGGGAGCGUAGGUGGAUUGUUAAGUCAGUUGUGAAAGUUUGCGGCUCAACCGUAAAAUUGCAGUUGAAACUGGCAGUCUUGAGUACAGUAGAGGUUGGCGGAAUUCGUGGUGUAGCGGUGAAAUGCUUAGAUAUCACGAAGAACUCCGAUUGCGAAGGCAGUUCACUGGACUGCAACUGACACUGAGGCUCGAAAGUGUGGGUAUCAAACAGGAUUAGAUACCCGAGUAGUC
rnacentral:rRNA from 1 species